AAGUCGUAACAAGGUUUCCGUAGGUGAACCUGCGGAAGGAUCAUUAGUGAAUAUUAGCGCAUCUCUUCGGAGAGCGUGACCUCCACUUUCUAACUCUGUGCAUUUAUUUGGCGGCUCUGAAGAUGUAACAGUCUACUUAGCUGCGGCUCAUUUUAUAACACUAGUUAAAGUAUGUAACGAAAUAUCGAAACAAAAAAAAACUUUCAACAACGGAUCUCUUGGCUUGCUC
rnacentral:misc_RNA from 1 species